CUACGGGGUGCACCAGUGAGGAAUAUUGCACAAUGGGGGGAACCCUGAUGCAGCAACGCCGCGUGGAGGAUGACGCAUUUCGGUGUGUAAACUCCUUUUAUAUGUCAAGAAAAUGACGGUAGCAUAUGAAUAAGCACCGGCUAACUCCGUGCCAGCAGCCGCGGUAAUACGGAGGGUGCAAGCGUUACUCGGAAUCACGGGGCGUAAAGGACGCGUAGGCGGGUUGGAAAGUCAGGUGUGAAAUCCUACAGCUUAACUGUAGAACUGCACUUGAAACUUCUAAUCUAGAGUAUGGGAGGGGGAGAUGGAAUUAGUGGUGUAGGGGUAAGAUCCGUAGAUAUCACUAGGAAUACCUAAAGCGAAGGCGAUCUCCUGGAGCAUUACUGACGCUAAGGCGUGAAAGCGUGGGGAGCAAGCAGGAUUAGAUACCCCAGUAGUC
rnacentral:rRNA from 1 species